GACUCCCUGCCCGGGGGGCGGGGGGAAUCUUUCCUCCCCAGGCCCUUCCAGGGAGUCCCCCAAGAAGACCUCAAACGGCUAGGUUUUCCUUCGGUGAAUGCUCCCUCCGGCCGCCGUCUGGGUGCCAACCACGGCUCGUUGGCCGCCCAGCACCGACCCCUCCCAAGCUGCCCACGAAGAGAGGCAGACGCAGAGCGACCCCGGUUGCGGGAGGGGAGUUGGUCCUCUGCAGUUUGGUUCUAUCUCGCUGGUUUCGGGGGAUGGGGGCGGUUUCCUCAUCUGUUGGGAAAGUUUGGGCCCUGGGGGAGAGGACCCUGAGGGUUGCUGGAGUCUGGGCGCCCCACUGAGCCUUUACCGACCGCUCCGAGCUCCGGACCCGGGCGGGGGCGACUCGAGGCCUCUUUCGGUCCAAAGGCAAGGCCAAGCCCUUCCCCUCUGUUCCGGGGAGAGACUGCGCAAGGUGAGGGAGACCGUGCGGGCGACGGUGCGGGAAACGAUGCGGGAAUCCGUUCGCCUCGCCUCGCCUCGCCUCGCCAUCCGGAGCUGACCGAGUGCUUAGCCCCCUUCGGGGAGUCGCCCCGAGGGGUUCUGACCUGGUUGGACGCCCCCAAUCCUCCACCCGGUCCACCCCCUCCGCAACUUCAGGUUCGACCAAAGGCCUGGGCUGAGGAUGCUCCAAGCGUCCAUUUCCCCACGAUCAAAGGUGGGUGGGAGGGUCGGGGAGGGCGCUGCGGACAGUGUCUCGGACACUGGUCCGAGACAGCAAGAGGUCCGAAGCCGAGAAUGCGCCAAGGAGCCGGUUGGGAGCCGUACCCGGUUAAAACAAACAGCCCCAAGCCCACCGCUAAUAGAGGUCCAUCUAAUAAAAGUCCGUUCACUGGGGGCCAGACACCCGAAUCCGGCCGGGGUGGGAUCUAGGCUCUGAGCUCUGCCACCUGGACAUUUGAAAAGGCAGCGGGACGAGUCUCUUUCAUCCUUCUGGUGGCUUUCUCGCAUCUGACAGCCCCGAUGCUGAAAGAGGACCUGUUUCUAUGUCAAUAAUUUAGCCAGCGGCCUCCAAACUGGGGCCGCUGAUAAAAAAAACUCGCCCCUAUAGCGCCAAACGUUUUAUUCGUGAACGAAGUUUAGGGUGAGGAUGGAUGUCUGGAUGCCGGUUUGGGUGUGUGGGCGGGGAUGCUCGACCGUGGAACGUUUUUAGAGCAAUCGACCAACGGUAUUUACUGAGCGCCUACUGGGUGCCCAGCCCUGGACUCAGCGCCUGUGAGAGUACAAUACAACAGAAGUCGGGUAGACGCGUUCCCUUUUAUAUCUGACAAAAGCUUUAAAACAAUCAACGACAAACCCCCCAAAUUUAACUCUCUCCUCUCGGGGCCGCUAGCCAAUACCCACAGUCGAGAUUUCGGACUACUUCUUGGCGGCUCGGGUGUUUCUCCGUGGCGUACAAACGUGAGAGAGAUACGGUUGGUGGAUGUGGGUAAUGUGAUGUGAAUGAUUAAACCUCUUACAUCGGAGCUCUGGCAUGUGAGGGAAGGGGGCGGAGGAGGCGGACAAAACAAGGGGGAAUUCCCCGUGCCCGGCCUCCAGUCCCCAGCCCCACCGGUAAUUUCCGCAGAGGACGAGGGCCGCGGCCAGUCCCGCGCGGAAAAACGCCCGUUUUCCAGCCGAAACGGUCCCAGACGAUUUGACUUUGUGCCAGGUUGGGAAAAUCGAUCGAUUUCCGGAGUCGUCCCCCCUCCCCCUCCGCCCCUCGGGUGGGAGAGUGGUCAGCGUCCGGGGGAGUCCAGCACACACCCAGCGCUCAUGAAUAUGGAAACGGCUCCGGACGGCCGCAACACGUCGCCGAAAGACGGUCGCAACAGCAACAGCUACGCCGAAAGAGGGAUCGCUCUUUAUCAAUUUAUCCCUCCCACACACACCUCUAAUCGCGGGACCCUUCCUCUCUGCCCCGGCUUCUCUCCAACGGACGGAAUAAGAGGCGGUGGGGCGAUCUGAAACGGACGGCCUCCCCGCUCCGAACUCAAAACAAAAUAAAAGCCUCCCAGAGACAUCAAAAAA